GCAAGAACCAACCCUCCAUCAGACUUCUGUGAGAUUAACCUUCCCAGGGCCUUCUCCAGACCAUUGAUCAUCCUAAAGAGCCUUGGAGAGGUCCUCAUGCUCAUCUACAGCAGAAGCAACAGAUCUCUGCUAAGAAUUGAUUUGGCUGUAGUCCUCCACCUGGCCACCUCUGGUCCCACUUGGCUUUAGCAGGAACAGAUCUUCAG
rnacentral:lncRNA from 1 species